rnacentral:rRNA from 1 species
AUGAAGAUGCCCAAAGCUAGACCCCAACCUGAAACUGAGUGCUUCUACUACAAAGGAAAUGGUCACUGGAAGUGGAACUGCCCUGGAUACUUGGAGGAUAAGAAGGAUGGCAAAGUGAACAAAGGUAUAUUUGAUAUACAU